rnacentral:rRNA from 1 species
AUGGCCGCGCCGGGCCUGGACGAGGUCAUGGCCUUCCUCACCGACCACGGCUUCGCCAGCACCGCCUCCGCGCUCCGGGACGACGUGCUGGGCCGCGCCGCGGGCGGGGAGCCCGGGCCCGCCGCCGCAUUAGAUCCCCGGCUCCCGCCCCUCCGUAUGUCGGUCUCCUCCUCCGGCGCCGGCGCCGGCCUGCCGCCGCCUGCGAGCCCCGGCUCCAGCUCCGGCUCGGCGUCCUCCUCCGCCUUCGUCAGCAUGCGCUCAUCGCCCUCAGGGCUGCUGAAUCCGUACGGCGUGUGGUCGUCGCAGCACUCGCUGUCGGACGCGUCGUCAUCUGAGAUGGAGUUCGGCACAGCACGCCAGUACGAUACCACCGACCUCUUCUUCCAGGAAGGCUGGCUCUACGACGACCACAUCUUCCAUACCAAGCCGGGUGACAGAGACAAGGAGGAGGACAAGUUUGUUCUCGGCGCUCAGGGCGGCUCAGGACCGGCAGAAACGUUCGUGCUCGGCCCUGGCGACUACUGCCGUCAUGAACACGCCGGAAAUGACGGCUGUGAGGGGUGUGCCGAGGUGUACAGCUGCUCGUCACCGCUCUGCAGUUGCUGUGCCGGGGGACUCAAGAACUUUGAGGAGCUUGAGCUGGUCCGAAAUUCUAGCUCUGCUGUGUAUGGGAGGUACAAGAUCAUGAAUGACCAGACAGAGAUACUGGAUGAGUGUGGCCCGGAUGUGUUUCAGAUGAAGCAGAGUGGGGAUCCCGUGCUUGAGUGCGAUUUUCUGACAGAUUCUGGGCAAGUAGACGAGCGCUUGGAGCUGAAUGUUGUGGAGAAGGAGCUUCAAAUGCUCAGUUCAUUUGAUACUUAUGAUGAUGCUGAAAUUCCUGCAAGUCCAGUACAGGUGCGCCAUGUCACUGACAAUGUAGAGUUGGAUUAUAACAAUGAAAACAAUCUGAAAAGCAGCAGUGGUAAAGAAUAUCUGAAAGAGAGUUAUAGCUUGCAUCCUUUCCCUGAGACUGAUGAUUAUGAUGACACCUACGAGUUUGGAGAUGUUGGGCCAUUGAAUACAGAUGUUCGGAAAUCUGCUACACUUAUAGCCGAGAAAGAAGAUCCAGAGUCAAAUAUUGAUCAGGCCGUCUCUAAUUUCCAUCAAGAAUACGAGGUAUUUGAAUUGAGAAUUGUCCACCGCAAGAACAGAACUGGCUUUGAAGCAAACAAAGAUUUUCCCAUUGUCUUGAAUUCAGUCAUAGCAGGAAGAUAUUAUGUUACUGAAUAUCUUGGCUCGGCAGCAUUCAGCAAGGUUGUCCAAGCACAUGAUCUUCAGACAGGAAUAGAUAUUUGCCUAAAAAUAAUAAAAAAUGAUAAGGAUUUCUUCGAUCAGAGUUUGGAUGAGAUAAAACUGCUGAAGUUUGUGAAUAAAUACGAUCCAUCAGAUGAGCAUCAUGUACUGCGGCUCUAUGACUACUUCUAUCAUCAGGAACAUCUUUUCAUUGUCACUGAAUUACUGCGAGCAAAUCUGUAUGAGUUUCAGAAAUAUAACCAGGAUUCUGGUGGUGACUUGUACUUUACAUUUCCUAGGAUACAGGCAAUUGCUCGCCAAUGCUUAGAAGCUUUGGUAUAUUUGCACCAUUUAAGGAUCAUUCAUUGUGACUUAAAGCCAGAGAAUAUCCUUAUCAAGAGCUACAGCAGGUGUGAAAUUAAGGUCAUCGAUCUUGGAAGUAGUUGCUUCUUGACAGACAGCUUAUGCCUGUAUGUUCAGUCACGUUCUUAUCGAGCUCCCGAGGUCAUUCUGGGCCUGCCAUAUGAUCAGAGGAUUGACAUUUGGUCUCUUGGUUGCAUCCUUGCUGAACUGUACACUGGUGAAGUACUAUUUCCUAAUGAACCAGUGUCCAUGAUGCUUGCCCGAAUGAUCGGGAUGAUUAGUCCAAUAGACAUGGAAAUGUUAGAGUUGGGACAGGAGACACAUAAAUAUUUCACCGAUGAUUAUGGCCUUUUCACCAAGAAUGAGGAGACAGGUCAAUUAGAGCAUUUGCUCCCAGAGAAGUCCUCUUUGCGACAUCACUUGCGAUGCCCCGACCCGCAGUUUGUGGAUUUUCUAUCCUAUCUGCUGCAAAUAAACCCCAGGAAGAGACCAACAGCCAGUGAAGCACUAGAGCAUCCGUGGCUUUCAUCCGAGUACUAA